AGGUCGUGAUGUAGACACUUUCGCAAUAAAUCAUUGUAUCUCUCUCAUGCCUCAUAUAAUGAUUCAUCCUCAAAUUGGGUGAGAGUAAUGAUAUCAUUCCUUAAUUU